rnacentral:rRNA from 1 species
UACGAACUGCGCAAACGUUAUUCGGAAUCACUGGGCUUACAGGGUGCGUAGGCGGCCAGUCAGGUCCGGUGUGAAAUCCCUCAGCUCAACUGAGGAAUGGCAUUGGAAACCGGCUGGCUCGAGUGAGCUAGAGGUACACGGAACUUCCGGUGGAGCGGUGAAAUGUGUUGAGAUCGGAAGGAACACCAGAGGCGAAAGCGGUGUACUGGAGCUUGUCUGACGCUGAGGCACGAAAGCCAGGGGAGCGAAC